CCUGCAGCCCAUGGAAGACCUCAUGACAGAGCAGAGGGAUGCCCAAGGGAGGCUGUGAUGCUGUGGGAAGCCCACACUGGAAUAGGCUCCUGGCAGGACCUGUGGCCCUGUGGAGAGAGGAGCUCACACUGGAGCAGGUUUGCUGGCAGGACUUGUGUCCCCAUGGGGAACCCACCGUGGAGCAGCCUGUUCCUGGAAGGACUGCACCCCAUGAAGGGACCCACAGUGCAGCAGUUCAUGAAGAACUGCAGCCCCCGGGAAGGACUCAAGUUGGAGAAGUUUGUGGAGGGCUGUUGCCCAUGGGAGGGACCCACACUGGAGCAGGGGAAGGACUUCUCCCCCUGAGGAGGAAGCAGUGGCAGAAACAACAUGUGAUGGACUGACCAAAGCCCCCAUUUACAGUCCCCCUGCGCUGCUGUCAGUGAUUUGGAAGAAAGAGGGGUGAUCCACGUUCUUCAGGGCCAUGGAUCAUCUGCUAUGAGAUUGAACUGGGGUCAGAUGAAGAAUUUGCACUAACCCAGCACUCCAGCUGUCUUGAGCAGUGCUUGAGUUGCUCAGAACCAUAAAGUGUAGUGAGCCAUAGAAAAUACAACUAACACUGAGAGCCAGAA